UACGAAGGGGGCGAGCGUUGUUCGGAAUUACUGGGCGUAAAGGGCGCGUAGGCGGCGAACCAAGUCAGAUGUGAAAGUCCUGGGCUUAACCUGGGGACUGCAUUUGAUACUGGUUUGCUUGAAUUCGGGAGAGGAUAGCGGAAUUCCCAGUGUAGAGGUGAAAUUCGUAGAUAUUGGGAAGAACACCGGUGGCGAAGGCGGCUAUCUGGACCGACAUUGACGCUGAGGCGCGAAAGCCAGGGGAGCAAACGGG
rnacentral:rRNA from 1 species